CAAGGUGCAGACCUGCUGCUUGUACAAUGAGCUCCAUGUCAGACUUGGCGGAGACCUCACCAGCACACUGCAGAGCACCAUGGAUACCUCGGUGGAGCCAGAGAGACAAACCCCUGCUGUGAACAGCGAGGAGGAUGAGGGACGUGUGACCUGAGGGUCAAGCUAAGCCUCAAGCCAGGAUCUGUAAGAGACUCCACUGCAGUCUCGUCAGUCCCAGCAGCUAAGCACAGGCGAGUCUGAUGCAGGGGAAGGAACCUCAGCUGCUGCUGUUGUGGUGUUGAGAGGUCCCCCCUACACACCCAUGGAACGUCUGAACAUGAUAAGGAGGAGAAAGAAGAGGAUAUGUGCAGAGAGAUCCUGCAAGCUAGUGCUGCAUCGGAUCACGAAAAGAGGGCCUGGAGGGUGAAUGUUGCAGACAGUAUGGAGAGGGAAAGAGUGGAUAGGAGAAGGAAAUGUACCAGGACAUAAUGGGCCUUCUUCAUCAGCAAACGCAAAUGCUUUAGACCUAAGUUCCUUUUAAGCUGCGCAGCCAUGCAGCAGCCUGUUUACUGCUGCCCCGCUGACCUGCCGCGGCCAGGGGAGGGGUGCGCCAUAGGCGCCCACUUCCCUUGUAACCAGGGGGGUACAUGACCCCCACCUCCGCUCUGGGCCCCGCCCCUACUCCAUCUCUUCCCCCAAGUCCCCGCCCGCAUCCCGCUUCUUCCCUGCCUCCUCCCCCGACUGUGCCCUGUCCCUCCUCCCCCUCCCUCCCUCCCGCAGCUUUCUACAUGCCGCAAAACAGCUGUUAGCAGGGGCGGGAGGUGCUGGGAGGGAGGAGUUGGUCAGCGGGGCUGCUGGCAGGUGAGAGGCACUGGGGGGCAGGGGUAGCUUGGCUGCUGGUGAGUGCUGCUGAGCAGCACCCGAUAAUUUUCUCUCUGGAGCACCCAUGGAGUCGGCACCCUAGGGGGGCACCCCAACUCAGCCCCGGACCUGCGUGACCGGGGCACCCCUCCUGCAACUCAGCCCCGGCUCAGACCUGCUGGGGGAGGGGUACCUAGCCCACAGCCCCAGCCCCCAAGCUGCCGCGCCAGGAAGAGGCACCUCUUCCCACCCCAGCCCAGGUGCUGCUGCGGGGGGAGAGAGCUGGGGGGAGUCUUCUCUCCCCGCCAUAGCCCUGGAGCACCCUCCUGCACCCCAAACCUCUCAUCCCCGGCCCCACCCCGGAGACCUCACCCUAUGCACCCCGGCCCUGAGCUCCUCCGCCCACUCUUAUCCCUGCAUCCCCAGCCGGAGCCCUCACACCCCUGCACCCCAACCCUCUGCUACAGCCCUGAGCCCCCUCCCACACUCCGAACCCCUUGGCCCCACCCCCACCACAUUAAUUUUGUUAUGUGCACCAAUAUGAAGGUGCUGUGUCACACACAAUUUAUUCUGUAUAUGUGUGGGAAAAAUUAGAGGGAACACUGCUGCAGACUCUGGUUGACCUACAGGUUCAACAAUCAUGGGUUCACCUCCCUUUGCAGUCAGUGGAGAACUCCAUUUUACACCUUUCUACACCUCCAGCUCCAACUUUCCACGGGGCAUCAGGGGAUGCAUCCAUAUCCCCUACCACUCCACGCCAGUGGACAGUAAGGAGAACCAUAGCUUCACAUGCACUGAUGCGUGAGAGCCACUAUUGCUCUAUGUGUAGCCAAAAUGAACUGAAAAGGACAUGAAUGUUCUGUCUCCUUGUUAAGUUCUGUUAAUUUAUUUCAGAAGUUUUUAUUGUAUUUGUUUUUUUUAAUUGUACCCUAGUUUUUUUUUACACUGGUUUUGGUUCUCAAUAAAAAAUAUUUUUUGGUAAA